GACGGAGUAGCGACGAUUUCCGAAUCCAUUCUCCAUUUGGUUUGCAAUGGCGAAGAAGAAAUGUAUGUUUGAUUUACAACUUUUAUCCAUCAAUCCUGCCGUAAUUUGAAGGUAAUAUGCUAUAUUUAAUGUUAAUACUUGUAGUAGAGCACUUACUUGGCUAAUAUAGAUUAAUAUUUGUGAGAUCGAGCACGAUUUUAGUGCGAUAUUUCGGCAUAAAAUUUGUCAACUUUUUCACAUGGUUCGUUAGGUUCGAUUGUCGAAAUAAAACCGUGAUUUUAUAGUGGGAAUUUACUGAAAAUACUUUCGACUAACCGAAUUAAAAAAGUUAAAUAAAAAAUUGUUAAAUUGUUAUAAAAAAAAUAAAACUUUUCAGCUCGUGCGAGGAUCUAGUUGACUUCUGCGGCCAACCCUGUACGUCGCGCUCUUGCGGUCACUCGAGUCUUGAGCAAUUUUUUUUAUUAAAUCUACGUUUUCUGAAAUUAAUUACCGAAUAAAGAAAGAUGUGGAGUCGCAAUAGAUCCACACUCCCCUACAGAGGAAAUCUAAGUUUUUUUAGACAAGUUCAGUUAUUCGCAACCUCAAAUGGCUCAAAAGGUCAAAUAAAGGCCCGCUCGAUAACAUUAAUUAAAUUAUAUUCUUUAUAGAUUAAAUAAAUUAUAUUUUUUGUAGAUUUACAUUGCAAGUUCCCAGGAUGUUCCAAGUGAAGAUUUGUCGACUAUGAACUCUUUCCAAAGUCGCAAAUGAAAGGUAUUGACUUUUUCCUUUUUAUUUGUAUUAACCUGUAUAUCUUUAGCAUUUUUCUGUUUAAUCUAAUUUAUUUCAUUUCCUCAAUAAUCAAUUUUUAACAUUUUCUAGAUACUGUAUGUGUUGCAAGUUCCAAGAAUGUCCCAAGCUGUUGGCUGAAGUUUUCUACUUCACAAAGAAUGGACACUGUCAUUGGAAAGUAUAUCAAAAGGUCUAUUUUCAUGCCUUAUUUUACGUAUGAAAUGCUUUGAAAAUUAUAAUUGUUUGUGAUAAGUGUUUAUUAAGUCAGAAAACAACAACAAAAAUAUAAUUUAAAAAAAUCAUGCUCCCAGUUUCCACCAAUCACAGGAAGUUGUCAAUUUUCAAAGCAUUUAUUUUGAGAUCAAGCCAAAAGAAUGAUAAACUGUUUCAUGUUUGUGUCUUGAAACGUUAAUAUGUUCCAUCUUAUGUGAAUCAUUUUGGACAUACUGUACAUUUUUCAUGUUUGGCAUACUAGCUACUUCUUAAAAUCUUCUAAAUCAAUUUUGUUCACAUGUGUCCUAUGUGAGGACAUAUAGUUGUUUUUAUAUCACAAAGUUUUUGCAUGUAGCUAUCAUAAUUUAUGACAAAAGUCAAAACAAUACAGUUUGUCAUAAUUUGGCUUUGUGAUGUGCAGGAGACAUCGAGAAGAUUGAGAUGAUUUUUAAGAAGAUCUACAGUAUGAAACAAUUUUUGUUACAGAUAUUAAGACACAAGAAUUUUAAUUCAAGAUCAUUUAAUUUUAGUUGCAUGUUUGUUUUAUUACAGAAAAGAACACUGAUCAACAUUAUAAUGUUUCAAAGUAAUUUGGCUUUGAACAACUUAUCUUUCAAAAUGAAUUGUGAAAACAGGUUUAUAACUUGGGUUCCUGAUUUCCCAUCUCAAUCUUCUCUUGUUCAAGUUGACCUUCAUUGUUUGUUUGAAAGUAUGAAAAGUUCAUAUGAAAAUCACAAAGUCUGUUCUACAUAUUAUUGGAGGUUUUUAAUAUUGAAUCUUGAAACAAGCAAUCUGGGAUCAGUUAAAAAAUACCCCAACAGUUGGCACUUUUAGAACUUUUAGAGCUUAAUAAAUUUAUUUACCCGACAAUUCUUAAUUGAUUAGUUGAACUUGCUUGUAAUGGCUAAUGCUUUCAUUGACUCGUGAUUCUGGUGCCAAAUGAAUGUGUGGUUUUGAAGAACAUGUUUGAACUUUGGAAUAAACUUUGUGAUUUUAAAUUAUAACUUCCAACUUUAAAACAAGCAGUUGAAGUCAGAAUUAGCUAGCGUAUAUUGUCUUCACUUCAUUACAAAGUGGAACUUGUUUGAGGACAGAUGAAUUGAAGCACCAAAACUUAACUCAAUUUUGGGGUAGUGUGCGAUGAUAAAACAAUAAAAUUGAUUGGCACAUGUACAUGCACAUGCACAUAGUGAAGUACACCACAAUCAGACAACAAAAUGAUGUUUUUUGGGAAAAAAAGAAAAAACAGUGAAAAUAUUCAAAAGUAUAUAAUUGUUUGGUG